AGUGGCAGACGGGUGAGUAACGCGUGGUCAACCUGCCCUUUAUCGGGGGAUAACUAGCCGAAAGGCUAGCUAAUACCGCAUGAAACAUAGCCGGGCAUCCGGCAGUGUUGAAAGAAGCAAUUCGCUUUUGGAUGGGACCGCGUCCGAUUAGUUAGUUGGUGGGGUAACGGCCUACCAAGACUCCGAUCGGUAGCUGGUUUGAGAGAGCGACCAGCCACACUGGGACUGAGAAACGGCCCAGACUCCUACGGGAGGCAGCAGUGAGGAAUUUUCCGCAAUGGGCGAAAGCCUGACGGAGCGACGCCGCGUGUGGGAAGAAGGCCUUCGGGUCGUAAACCACUGUCGAAGGGGACUAUAUUGAAGGUACCCUUGGAGGAAGCCCCGGCUAACUACGUGCCAGCAGCCGCGGUAAGACGUAGGGGGCAAGCGUUAUUCGGAAUUAUUGGGCGUAAAGCGCUCGUAGGCGGGAAAACAAGUCCGUGUUGAAAUACCUCGGCUCAACUGAGGAACCGGCUCGGA
rnacentral:rRNA from 1 species